UGGGGAAUAUUGCACAAUGGGCGCAAGCCUGAUGCAGCCAUGCCGCGUGUAUGAAGAAGGCCUUCGGGUUGUAAAGUACUUUCAGCGGGGAGGAAGGGAGUAAAGUUAAUACCUUUGCUCAUUGACGUUACCCGCAGAAGAAGCACCGGCUAACUCCGUGCCAGCAGCCGCGGUAAUACGGAGGGUGCAAGCGUUAAUUGGAAUUACUGGGCGUAAAGCGCACGCAGGCGGUUUGUUAAGUCAGAUGUGAAAUCCCCGGGCUCAACCUGGGAACUGCAUCUGAUACUGGCAAGCUUGAGUCUCGUAGAGGGGGGUAGAAUUCCAGGUGUAGCGGUGAAAUGCGUAGAGAUCUGGAGGAAUACCGGUGGCGAAGGCGGCCCCCUGGACGAAGACUGACGCUCAGGUGCGAAAGCGUGGGGAGCAAACA
rnacentral:rRNA from 1 species